rnacentral:rRNA from 1 species
GAUGAACGCUGGCGGCGUGCCUAAUACAUGCAAGUCGAGCGAACAGACGAGGAGCUUACUCCUCUGACGUUAGCGGCGGACGGGUGAGUAACACGUGGAUAACCUACCUAUAAGACUGGGAUAACUUCGGGAAACCGGAGCUAAUACCGGAUAACAUGUUUAACCGCAUGGUUCAACAGUGAAAGACGGUCUUGCUGUCACUUAUAGAUGGAUCCGCGUCGCAUUAGCUAGUUGGUAAGGUAACGGCUUACCAAGGCAACGAUGCGUAGCCGACCUGAGAGGGUGAUCGGCCACACUGGAACUGAGACGCGGUCCAGACUCAUACGGGAGGCAGCCGUAGGGAAUCUUCCGCAAAGGGCGAAAGCCUGACGGAGCAAAGCCGCGUGAGUGAAGAAGGUCCUCGGAUCGUAAACCUCUGUUAUGAGGGAAGAACAAAUGUGUAAGUAAAUAUGCACGUAUUGACGGUACCUAAUCAGAAAGCCACGGCUAAAUACGUG